GCCUGGGUGGCUCAGUCGGUUGAGCGACUGACUUCGGCUCAGGUCAUGAUCUCGCGGUCCGUGAGUUCGAGCCCCGCGUCGGGCU
rnacentral:tRNA from 1 species